rnacentral:lncRNA from 1 species
GGCUUCUCCCUGGGUGGGGCAGGGCCUCUGAUUGGAGGAGGCCUGCCAGAAGGGUGGGGCGAUGGGCGUGGCUAACGGGAUAACUGCCAGAGCAGAAGACAGUUGGCAGUUAUUUCGCAACCUUCAUCUGUUCCUGGAAGAUACCCGUAGCCUGCCUUCCUUCUUGACAGGCUGAUUUAGGGGUGCUCCCCAAGAAGAUCAGGACUGCUGAAAGAAUGAAGAAGAACUUACUUGGCCUAGGAUGUGGCUAGAGAACGGAGCGCACUUUCACUUACCUGGCAAGGUGGUUUUGGAAGUUUCCACGGAAGCCUUCCCAGGGCCGCUGCUGCCCGUCCUCGCCUAGAAGAAUUCCAUUCUCCCAUCCCAGGAAGGAGAGUGCCCUGCGUGCCACGAAAGAGCCCAGGACCCACAGGACAAAUACGUCACUGGCAGACCUGCCUUCGCCAGCGCCAGCCCAUCUCUGAAACCUCCAGCAUUUGUGCCCCGGUCCGGCCCCUCCCAGGCCUGACUCUUUCCGAACGGUCACUGCGCAGGAUCAAGCUACAAUGAAGAGGAGGGAGGCAGUCUGCGCGCACCGCCAUUUUCUAGGAACUGGGAAGCCCCCCCACCCCUUAGGAAGAUCCAUCCCUGUGGAACCUUGCCCAGGCUUACCAGCCUUUGCUGAGGUUGAUCUAUUGUCCCUCCUUGUCCCCAUCAAAAUAUCCAGCACUCCACCUUCAGGGAGUAGACUUGACCCUCAAAUAGCAAGUUCAGCCUUCCCAGGUCUAGGUUCCCUGGGAGGUCAAGAUUCGUCUGGUUCCUUAGUACAGAGGGCUAGCUGUGAGUUGGAAUCCCCCUAUGAGCUUUAGAAUCAGUCAAGAGGAAUUGGGCCCCUUCCCUUCAUCCCUCUUCUUUUCCCUUUUUGUCCCAGAGCUCAGCUCUGACUCAAAAGUUUUUCCAUUUACCAUCAACAUGGAAACUUGGCUCCUCACGUAGGUAUAUUAUCCCCCUUUUGUACAUGGUCUUGUUGAUCCAAACUCCCUUUCUGUGAAAGAGGCCUGUGGGGCUCAAGAAGCCUGGUCAGCCAGCCAGGCUAGUCCCACAUACCUCAGAACCAGUUUAAUAAAGGCUCUAUGUCAUUCUUUU